AGUCUAUUGUGUGGACUUUUCCGAAACAAAUCUCUAAACCUUUCCCAUGCUUCAUAUAAUGACUCACCAUCCAAUUAACUAAAAUAAGCAAUAUCCAUUCUAAAUUU